AAUUUUUUUUUAACAAAAAAAAUGAGAAUUCUCAUUUGUUGAUGUCUUCGGUUUAACUUAAUUUCAUGAAAAGAAAUUUAUCAUUAAACCUGAGACCUGAGGUGGCAUUCAAUAAGGCGAAUUUGCUAUCGCUUCUUAUUAUAUUUCUAAGUAGAGAUAAUAUGUCAAAUUGGAGUGGGAUAAGACUAUCUCACAAGAUUAAUCACUAAGCUAUUACAUGUAUUAUGUCAAAUUCGGUAGCAUUCAAUAAGCUGGAUAAUUUGCUAUGGCUUCCUAUUAUAUUUUUAAGUAUUAUGUCAAACCGGAGUGGGACAAGAUUAUCUUAUAAGGUUAAUCACUAAGCUAGUUACAUGUUGUGACCUUGUAUUUUGAAUAUCUAAAAUUGAAAUCUAUUGUGGGGACACCUCAAAUGGGUGUUAGGCAAUGAGGAAUGGAGAUCGGAGAAAUUGUGGUCAUGGAAGUGAGGGACCUCAAUGCAAAGCUAGAGGAAAUUUCUGGUCUCUUUGUUCAAUAAUUAUAGAAUGCAUUGGUGUACAACAGUGAUUUCACGUAGAUAAUUUUACAUAAAAUGGUAAAUCAAUACAAUAGUGAUUUCAUGUAUUUAAUCUUAAAUAAAAUGGUAAAUGAAU
rnacentral:misc_RNA from 1 species